UACAGAGGGGGCAAGCGUUGUUCGGAAUUACUGGGCGUAAAGGGCGCGUAGGCGGCCUGUUAAGUCGAACGUGAAAUCCCUAGGCUCAACCUAGGAACUGCGUCCGAUACUGGCAGGCUUGAAUCCGGGAGAGGGAUGUGGAAUUCCAGGUGUAGCGGUGAAAUGCGUAGAUAUCUGGAGGAACACCGGUGGCGAAGGCGACAUCCUGGACCGGUAGUGACGCUGAGGCGCGAAAGCCAGGGGAGCAAACGGG
rnacentral:rRNA from 1 species